ACUAGGGCGACGGCUGGACGCCUCCUCGCUUUGGGAUGAAUUAGCGGCGGGUUCUGCCCUGAGGUUGUGACCCCUUCGGAGUCCCAGACUAGUCCACGCGCCUCCCACGGCGUCGCACGGAGUCCCCUGCCAGUCACAGGCUGAAAGACAGAGUUGAGAUUCUCUUCUGGGAAGCUGGCAACAAAAGGAGGAUAUGAUAUCUUGCGUUCCAGGGAAAAAUAAAUUGUGAUGCUACUGAACCCAUGGGCAAUUAACAAGACAGUUUCUAGCUACUGAAUGUGCUUUCUGAAAUCAGGACUGUAAAAGCUUUGGAAUCAUGGUGUCAUGGAAAGGGAUUUACUUUAUACUCACUCUGUUUUGUGGAAGCUUUUUUGGAAGCAUUUUCAUGCUGAGUCCCUUUUUACCUUUGAUGUUUAUAAACCCAUCUUGGUAUCGCUGGAUCAACAACCGCCUUGUGGCAACCUGGCUCAC